UGGAAUCUUCAAAAGAAGGCAAUAGUGCA
rnacentral:piRNA from 1 species